GUUUGGGAAGGGAAGGUUUGGGAAGGUUUGGGAAGGUUUGGGAAGGGAAGGUUUGGGAAGGGAAGGUUUGGGAAGGGAAGGUUUGGGAAGGUUUGGGAAGGUUUGGGAAGGUUUGGGAAGGUUUGGGAAGGUUUGGGAAGGGAAGGGAAGGGAAGGUUUGGGAAGGGAAGGUUUGGGAAGGGAAGGGAAGGUUUGGGAAGGGA